GGUCGAAGCACAUAAGGGCAUACGGUGGAUGGCUAGGCAGAAGAGAGCCGAUGAAGGACGUAGCAGCCUGCGAAAAGUCUCGGGGAGGUGGCAAGCAACCUGUGAUCCGGGAAUAUCCGAAUGGGGCAACCCCGUCGCGCAAACCGCGAUGACCCACGACUGAAUACAUAGGUCGUGUGGAGGGAACCUGGGGAAGUGAAACAUCUCAGUACCCAGUGGAAAAGAAAAAACAAAACCCUGACCUCAUUUCUCGGGUGAUACUUUGUUGUCACAUCGAGAAUUGAAGUCAGAUCAUUCCGUGAGUAGUGGCGAGCGAAAGCGGAUCAGUCUAAAUCAUUUGUGUGAACCCUCGUACCGAGUUGGACGCAAGUUUGACCGCGGACCUGGGUGAAGGGCUUGGGCCGUCGCAUAGAUGACGUUGUGGACAAGGCGUUCGAUCCCCCAAGGGAUCGGGAUGUGACAUGAGAACUGUAGCUGAACCUGCUGGAAAGCGGGGCCAAAGACGGUGAUAGCCCGGUAAGCGAAAUGGUAUCUCAGCGCAUAUGUCUUGAUCCAGAGUACUGCGGGGCUCGUGAAACCCUGUAGGAAGCAGCCACGACGAUGUGGCAAGACUAAAUACUCCUUCUGACCGAUAGUGAACAAGUACAGUGAUGGAAAGCUGAAAAGCAGCCCGGGAGGGCGAUGAAAUAGUAUCUGAAACCGUAUGCUUACAGAGAGGUGGAGCGGGCAGCAAUGUCCGUCACACCGUUCCUAUUGAAGAAUGAGCCGACGAGUGAGUCCUGCGUUGCUUGGUUAAGUCGCUGCGGCGACGAAGCCAUAGUGAAAGCGAGCCUUAAUAGGGCAUUGGUAGCGCAGACUUGACCCGAAACCGGGCGAUCUAUCCAUGGCCAGGAUGAAGGUUACCGAAAGGUAACUGGAGGUCCGAACCCACGAGCCGUGCAACACUCGGGGAUGAGUUGUGGAUAGCGGAGAAAUUCCAAUCGAGCUCGGUGAUAGCUGGUUCUCCCUGAAAUAGUUUUUGGACUAGCGUUGGUACAUAGCGUUGCGGGGGUAGAGCUACUGAAUGGGAAAUGGGGCGCAAGCUUACAUUUCCCAACCAAACUCCGAAUACCGUAACGUGUUCCCAGCAGUCAGACCGUGGGGGCUAAGCUCCAUGUGUCAAAAGGGAAACAGCCCUUGAUCGCAGACUAAGGUCCCUAAAUACAAGCUAAGUGUAAAAGGCGGUUGGUAAACUUGGACAACCAGGAGGUUGGCUUAGAAGCAGCCAUCCUUUAAAGAAAGCGUAAUAGCUCACUGGUCAAGCCUACCUGCGCCGAAAACUUACCGGGGCUAAGCUUGUUACCGAAGUCGCGGAUUAUGAUCCCCACACCUUUCUAACCAAAGGUGUGAACAGUUGUGACGUCGAGACAUAGAGAACCGUCUCGGCUAAACGUCUAUACGCCGCCUUUCGUGAGAGAGGCGUGGGGAUGUAGUGGUAAGGGAGCAUUCGCAUCUGCGCCGAAGCGGAAGGCGUGAGCCACCGUGGAGCGAUGCGAAGUGAGAAUGUCGGCAUAAGUAGCAAAAAGACGGGUGAAAAUCCCGUCCACCGUAAACCCAAGGUUUCCAGGGCAACGCGAAUCGUCCCUGGGUUAGUCGGUCCUAAGGCCAGGCCGAAAGGCGUAACCGAUGGACAGCAGGUUAAUAUUCCUGCACUACCUGUAGGUUUCAAUGGAGUGACGCGUUCUUGCAUUUUCCGAGGAUCCUGGAAUGAUCCUUCGGGCACGAAGGGGUGUUGGAUAGGCAAAUCCGUCCAGCAUAAGCCUCGUUGUGACCGUCAGUCUGCCGCAAGGCGGGCAAGGGAAAAGAAUGGAGCGCCAAGAAAACCUUCUAGAGCCAACCUGCAGGUAUCCGUACCGUAAACCGACACAGGUGGGUGGGCAUAAGUGUGCUAAGGUGUACGAGAGAACCCGUGUGUAGGAACUCGGCAAUACAACGGCCGUAACUUCGGGAUAAGGCCUGGCUAUCGCAAGAUAGCCUUCAACAAAAGACGCAAACCGACUGUUUACCAAAAACACAGCUCCCUGCUAAACCGCAAGGUGAUGUAUAGGGAGUGAUGCCUGGCCAGUGUCAGAACGUUAAGCGGAGAGGUCAUGGGGUUUACCCCGGCAGCCUUGAAGCCAAGCGCUGAUGAACGCCGGCGAUAACUAUAAUCGUCCUAAGGUAGCGAAAUUCCUUGUCGGGUGAGUUCCGACCCGCACGAAUGGCAUAACGAGUUUGCGACUGUCUCCACAUGGGACUCGGCGAAAUUGCAAGUGGGGUGAAGAUGCCCUGUACGCGCAGUCAGACGAAAAGACCCCGUGAAGCUUUACUACAACUUGAUAUUGGGUUGCGGCUUUGCAUGUUCAGCAUAGGUGGGAGCCUUCGGGCAUCAGUGAGAUACCACUCUUGCACUGCCGCGAUUCUUGAUCCCCCUCCAUGAAUCUGGAGAGGGAGACAGUAUCUGGUGGGUAGUUUAACUGGGGCGGUUGCCUCCUAAAAGGUAACGGAGGCGUUCACAAAGGUCGGCUAGGUGCGGAUGGAAAUCGCAUCGAUCCUGCAAUGGGACAAGCCGGCUUAACUGCAAGACCAACAAGUCGAGCAGACGCGAAAGCGGGACAUAGUGAUCCGACCGUACGAUAUCGGACGGCGGAAGCUCAACGGAUAAAAGCUACUCCGGGGAUAACAGGCUGAUCGCGCCCAAGCGUCCACAGCGACGGCGCGGUUUGGCACCUCGAUGUCGGCUCACCGCAUCCUGGGGCUGUAGAAGGUCCCAAGGGUUUGGCUGUUCGCCAAUUAAAGCGGUACGCGAGCUGGGUUCAGAACGUCGUGAGACAGUUCGGUCUCCUGUCUACUGUGCGCGUGGAACAUUGAGAAGGCGAUUCUCUAGUACGAGAGGACCGAGAAUCACGAACCUCUAGUGCGCCUGCUGUCCUACCAAGGGCACCGCAGGGUAGCUACGUUCGGCACGGAUAAACGCUGAAAGCAUCUAAGCGUGAAGCCGUCUUCAAGAUUAAUGUUCGUCAUAGGAUCCUCCGAGACUAGGAGGUUGAUAGGCCGUAGGUGUAAGACCUGUGAGGGUUUAAGCCGAGCGGUACUAAUAGUCCGAUGCUUCGACCAU
rnacentral:rRNA from 1 species